rnacentral:rRNA from 1 species
UGGCGGACGGGUGAGUAAUGUCUAGGGAAACUCGCCGAUGGAGGGGGGUAACUACUGGAAACGGUAGCUAAUACCGCAUAACGUCGCAAGACCAAAGAGGGGGACCUUGGGCCUCUUGCCAUCGGAUGUGCCCAGAUGGGAUUAGCUAGUAGGUGGGGUAAAGGCUCACCUAGGCGACGAUCCCUAGCUGGUCUGAGAGGAUGACCAGCCACACUGGAACUGAGACACGGUCCAG